rnacentral:rRNA from 1 species
AACGAACGCUGGCGGCAGGCUUAACACAUGCAAGUCGAGCGAGACCUUCGGGUCUAGCGGCGGACGGGUGAGUAACGCGUGGGAACGUGCCCUUCUCUACGGAAUAGCCCCGGGAAACUGGGAGUAAUACCGUAUACGCCCUUUGGGGGAAAGAUUUAUCGGAGAAGGACCGGCCCGCGUUGGAUUAGGUAGUUGGUGGGGUAAUGGCCCACCAAGCCGACGAUCCAUAGCUGGUUUGAGAGGAUGAUCAGCCACACUGGGACUGAGACACGGCCCAGACUCCUACGGGAGGCAGCAGUGGGGAAUCUUAGACAAUGGGGGCAACCCUGAUCUAGCCAUGCCGCGUGAGUGAUGAAGGCCUUAGGGUUGUAAAGCUCUUUCAGCUGGGAAGAUAAUGACGGUACCAGCAGAAGAAGCCCCGGCUAACUCCGUG